GCUGUAUCACUGCUGCAGUCGUGACAGUCGUAGCUGCAGACCUUAGCAACAGUGGUAGGGUGGCUAGAAGAUAACUUGCGUCGUACCUUUCCAUCAUCAAGAAAAAAAUUCAAACAGAAGGGGCAUAAAAGGGAAACUAGCAUGACAAUAGGGGGCAGAGAGCCGUUGAAGAGGAGACGCAACUUACUGGCACGAGAGGAUUUCACCGUUUCAAAAAUGCAGCUGAUAACACACCAUAACGAGGGGAAAAAAAGAGGGGGAGAGCAUAAGGAGAUAACAUAAGAGAGUUGGCAAAAGCAGCGAACUCGCGAAGGUGAAGAGAAAAAAAGGUGGAAACAACUCGGGCAAGGGGACAACAGACUGGAACGAGCAAACCCAAGAUCACCCAUCAAAAGAGCUUCUGAGAGAGAGCCAUCCUUGGAUUUCGCACAGAGGAAGAAAAUCGAAGAGGAGAGUAGAGGGUGUGGCGACUUCGUCUGAGUCGGAAGGGCUUCCCAUAGUGGCCGGUGUUGCCGGCGACGACUUCGUCUGAGCAAGGAAGGUGUGACCACAGGCGAGGAGGGCUGGUGCUUCACGGGAGCGAGUGCUUCACUGGUUUUGCUGAUUUGUAUUCAAACAUCCAGUGAUGCAAACACUUUGCCAUCUCUGCUAAAAUACCUGAAUUCACCAACAAGAACAAAACAGUGGUCCUCCAACAUUCUGUAAAAUUUGAAAAGGAGAUUGAGUGUGGUGGAGGGUACAUCAAGUUUCUCUAUGGAUUUGUUAAUCAAAAGAAGUUUGGUGGGGAUACACCUUAUAUAAUUAUAAUCCUGGAGUCAAUUUCAGCAAAGAGAGUGGAAUUGUUUUCAUUCCAAGAAGAGAUCAAUUUGGAGAGUAUGUUCCCUUGCACCCUAGAAACACAGGUCUAGCUAAGGGUGAUGUUGCUGGAAUAUCCAUAGCAGGAAUAUGCAGUCUUCUAUUAUUAGUAAUCUGCAUAUAUGUUAAAUUCUUUAAGAAGAUGGAAGGAGAGAAACCUAAAUUGCCAACAAAAAAUUCUAUGGCGUUUUCAACUCAAGAUGCCUCUGAAAGUGCAGAAUAUGAAACUUCAGGAUCCAGUGGGACUACUGUUGUUGGCAUUACAAGAAUUAUGGUGGCAAAAUCAAUGGAGUUUGCAAACUAAUCACCCAAGGGUAAUCGAGCUUUACCCUAAUCACCCAUAUAUCGGAGAGAUUGUGUAAUGUGCCAAAAUAAUAAUAAAUGUACCAAAAGUUUCAAACCAAGAAAAUAAUUGGAGUUUGCAAACUAGGACAAUUAUCAUCUUUAGCCAGUAAUGGGAGAGAAAAUCUUAAAUGGCUUCCAACACACUGUUUUAUUCCUUUAAUUUAUUAACAUUAUCAACUUUUUUAUUA